CCUAGCUCUGACCAUCGCAAUCGUUAAAUAGAUCAUGUGGUUCUAUCUCUGUUUUUUACUCCAAAAAUAGAUGGUCUUAAACAAGCACAAUACAAGGACGUUGACAAACAUUAUUUUGAUCAGCUAGUCCAGCUUAAGAUUAUUGACACAUCAAUUGAUUCUCUCUUGUUUCUGUUGUUGCUGCAACAUCAAACAAUGCAUAUGAUUACUCAAAUGGGCAUGCAUCGACAGUUAGCUCUGUUAUUGUUUCAAACUUGAAAACUGGUGUCAGAAAAGGAGCAUGGGACAAAGUAGAGUGUAAUACCGGCAUUCAAGGCUGCUGCUGAGAGUCUGCUAAUUACCUCUGAUCUGUCACCAGCAGAUUUAGUAAG